GGGUCAGUAGGUUGGUCGUGCCACCGGUACGUACUGGUCCCACUGAUUCCUCCUUCCUGAAGAACCGUAAUGCCAUUAAUUUGGUGUUGCGGGGGAACAGGACUGUUACUUUGAAAAAAUUAGAGUGUUUAAAGCAAGCUAACGCUUGAAUACAUUAGCAUGGAAUAAUGAAAUAGGACGAUCGAUCCUAUUUUGUUGGUUUCUAGGAUUGACGUA
rnacentral:rRNA from 1 species